AUUGAACGCUGGCGGCAAGCCUAACACAUGCAAGUCGAACGAGUGGCGGACGGGUGAGUAAUGUCUGGGAAACUGCCUGAUGGAGGGGGAUCACUACUGGAAACGGUCGCUAAUACCGCAUACCAUCGGAUGUGCCCAGGUGGGAUUAGCUAGUCGGUGGGGUAAAGGCUCACCUAGGCGACGAUCCCUAGCUGGUCUGAGAGGAUGACCAGCAACACUGGAACUGAGACACGGUCAAGACGCCUACGGGAGGCAGCAGGGGGGAAUAUUGCACAAUGGGCGCAAGCCUGAUGCAGCCAUGCCGCGUGUAUGAAGAAGGCCUUCGGGUUGUAAAGUACUUUCAGCGGGGAGGCGUUACCCGCAGAAGAAGCACCGGCUAACUACGUGCCAGCAGCCGCGGUAAUAC
rnacentral:rRNA from 1 species